GAAAGUAUUACGAACGGAAAAAGAAUCGAUAGAAAAACAAAGGAGUGCUAAUCCCUGAGAUGAUCCUUGUAUUUAUUCGUCCACCGAGGCGACGCAGAUUAUUUCAACGUUCUAGUUGGGGACAUCCUGAACUCGUGUUGCAUGAACAUGGCAAAUUUUGGGAAACAGCAAUCCCUAACUACACAGGUCAACGAUUUCAGAAAAAAUUGUCGCUUCAAAAGGGCAACAUUUAUGACUUUGUGCAACAUGCUUAGGCCCUACCUGUUAAAACACAACACUGGUAUGAGACAGGCUAUUGUGCUUGAAAAGGGAGUGGCGGUCGCCUUGACGUUUUUGAAGGAAAACUGUAACUUUUGGUCCGUUGCUGAUUUAUAUGGAAUUGGAUAAAGUAUCGUAGGAUGUCUGUGAUAUGAAUUUUGUGAAGCGGUGCUGGCACAUUAUUAUGAUGACGUCGUCAAGUUUCCCGAUACUGAAGUGGAAAGAUUUGCUAUAAGCAGAGGUUUCAUGAACAGAUGGCAAUUCUCUAAUUGUUUUGGUGCGAUGAACGGAACUCAUAUUCCUAUAUCAGUUCCUGCAGACCAUCCCGAGGAUUAUUAUAAUUAUAAAUCAUUUCAUUCAAUCGUCGCGUUACGCGUUGUUGAUUACAAGUAUCGGUUCACGUAUAUAAACAUUGGCGCCCCUGGACGUUGCAACAAUGCAUCAAUUUUCCAUAGAAGUGCAUUAUUCAAACAGUUCUCUGUAAAUAAUGAGACUCUUGAUGGAUAAACAACUAAUCUGCACAUAUUAUCUGAUGCAGCUUUUCCUUUGUUAACAUGGCUGUUGAAACUUUAUCCCAUAACCGACGAAAUGUCGCUCGUGAAUCGAUAUUUCAAGUAUGGGUCGAGUAGCGCAAGGAUGACAGUGGAGAAUGCCUUCGGUCUGCUAGAAGGCCGUGAGAGAAGACUAUUAAAACGAGCAAAUUUGAACCUCAAAAAUAUGAAACGAGUUGCAAAGGUUUGCUUUAUUUUACAUAAUAUUUGUGAAAGUCAUAAUGAGCUUUUUCACCUUGAAUGGCUUGAAAAGGUAAAAGCCAAAAAAAAUAGUAUGGCAAACGUACCUACUAUAACAGUUCCUGAUAAUAGAGCUUCUACGGUAGCUGAAAUAAA